UACGUAGGGUGCGAGCGUUGUCCGGAAUUAUUGGGCGUAAAGGGCUCGUAGGCGGCUUAGCAAGUCGGGUGUGAAACCUCCAGGCUCAACCUGGAGCUGCCACUCGAUACUGCUAUGGCUUGAGUCCGGUAGGGGACCACGGAAUUCCUGGUGUAGCGGUGAAAUGCGCAGAUAUCAGGAGGAACACCAGUGGCGAAGGCGGUGGUCUGGGCCGGAACUGACGCUGAGGAGCGAAAGCGUGGGUAGCAAACAGG
rnacentral:rRNA from 1 species